rnacentral:rRNA from 1 species
UAGGGAAUCUUCCGCAAUGGGCGAAAGCUUGACGGAGCAACGCCGCGUGAGUGAUGAAGGUCUUCGGAUCGUAAAACUCUGUUAUUAGGGAAGAACAAAUGUGUAAGUAACUAUGCACGUCUUGACGGUACCUAAUCAGAAAGCCACGGCUAACUACGUGCCAGCAGCCGCGGUAAUACGUAGGUGGCAAGCGUUAUCCGGAAUUAUUGGGCGUAAAGCGCGCGUAGGCGGUUUUUUAAGUCUGAUGUGAAAGCCCACGGCUCAACCGUGGAGGGUCAUUGGAAACUGGAAAACUUGAGUGCAGAAGAGGAAAGUGGAAUUCCAUGUGUAGCGGUGAAAUGCGCAGAGAUAUGGAGGAACACCAGUGGCGAAGGCGACUUUCUGGUCUGUAACUGACGCGGAUGAGCGAAAGCGUGGGGAUCAAACAGG